rnacentral:rRNA from 1 species
AUGCUUAACACAUGCAAGUCGAACGAUGAGAAAGAGCUUGCUCUUUCGAUUAGUGGCGGUCGGGUGCGUAACGAGUAGGAAUCUACAUGUUAGUGGGGGACAACUGAGGGAAACUUAAGCUAAUACCGCAUACGCCGUACGGGGGAACGAAGGGGAUAGCAAGACCUUUUGCUAAUAGAUGAGCCUGCGUAGGAGUAGCUAGUUGGUGGGGUAAAAGCUCAGAAAGGCGCCGAUCCUUAACUGGUUUGAGAGAAUGAUCAGUCACACUGGAACUGAGACACGGCCCAAACUCCUACGGGAGGCAGCAGUGAGGAAUAUUGGACAAUGGGCGCAAGCCUGAUCCGGCGAUGCCGCGUGAGUGAUGAAGGCCCUAGGGUUGUAAAGCUCUUGCACCGGGGAAGAUAAUGACGGUACCCGGAGAAGAAGCCCCGGCUAACUUCGUGCCAGCCGCCGCCGUAA